UUAAGCAGUGAUGAGCCUAACAGACCUGUAAUGAUUUGCGAAUAUGAUCGCAAUCCAUUAUGAACAUCUAAGGGACUGAGUUUAU